UGGGGAAUAUUGGACAAUGGGCGCAAGCCUGAUCCAGCCAUGCCGCGUGAGUGAUGAAGGCCUUAGGGUUGUAAAGCUCUUUUAGCAGGGAAGAUAAUGACGGUACCUGCAGAAAAAGCCCCGGCCAACUUCGUGCCAGCAGCCGCGGUAAUACGAAGGGGGCUAGCGUUGCUCGGAAUUACUGGGCGUAAAGCGCACGUAGGCGGACUCUUAAGUCGGUGGUGAAAUCCUGGAGCUCAACUCCAGAACUGCCUUCGAUACUGGGAGUCUUGAGUUCGGGAGAGGUGAGUGGAACUGCGAGUGUAGAGGUGAAAUUCGCAGAUAUUCGCAAGAACACCAGUGGCGAAGGCGGCUCACUGGCCCGAUACUGACGCUGAGGUGCGAAAGCGUGGGGAGCAAACA
rnacentral:rRNA from 1 species